GGUGCAAUAGCUCAGUGGUAGAGCAUACGAUUGCAAAUCGUAUGGUCCCGCGUUCGAACCGCGGUUGUACCU